rnacentral:rRNA from 1 species
UGGGGAAUUUUGGACAAUGGGCGCAAGCCUGAUCCAGCCAUGCCGCGUGCGGGAAGAAGGCCUUCGGGUUGUAAACCGCUUUUGUCAGGGAAGAAAUCUUCUGAGUUAAUACCUCGGGAGGAUGACGGUACCUGAAGAAUAAGCACCGGCUAACUACGUGCCAGCAGCCGCGGUAAUACGUAGGGUGCAAGCGUUAAUCGGAAUUACUGGGCGUAAAGCGUGCGCAGGCGGUUUUGUAAGACAGAGGUGAAAUCCCCGGGCUCAACCUGGGAACUGCCUUUGUGACUGCAAGGCUUGAGUGCGGCAGAGGGGGAUGGAAUUCCGCGUGUAGCAGUGAAAUGCGUAGAUAUGCGGAGGAACACCGAUGGCGAAGGCAAUCCCCUGGGCCUGCACUGACGCUCAUGCACGAAAGCGUGGGGAGCAAACAGGAUUAGAUACCCCUGGUAGUCCACGCCCUAAACGAUGUCAACUGGUUGUUGGGAAGGUUCCUUCUCAGUAACGUAGCUAACGCGUGAAGUUGACCGCCUGGGGAGUACGGCCGCAAGGUUGAAACUCAAAGGAAUUGACGGGGUCAUAGC